AGGAAAAAAAUUUUCCAUUCUUUGUUACAAACAAUUCCUACUCAUCUGACACAUCUCAAACUUAUCCUCUAUCUACACCUAUUUUGGCUCACAUACCAACUCCUUUAUCUUCUCCAAAUGCCCCACAAUCCACGCAUCACACUCAAUCUCUCUCUCCUCACAUGCAUUUGUCUCCUACCACAACACAACCAUAUCCCACGCAUCCCGCUCAAUUUCUCUCUCCUCACAUGCAUUUGUCUCCUACCACAACCCAACCUUAUCCUCCUGAAACACAAGUACACCCUUUACAUUACACAUCAUCCUCACACCUUAUCUCCCCUUCCAACACGCCAAAUCUUCCACAUAUCUCACUCACUCAAAAUGACACCAUGUCUUUUCCAUCUAGUUCCCAUGAAACCACACGGAUUCAACCCAUUUCCCAUGAAACCACUCGACCCUUUUCCAGUUCUCAUGAAACAACAUAAUCAUCUCCUAGUUUCCAAUCAACCAAACCUGCUCCAAAUACUCACCCCAUGACUAGAACAGCCAAAAACAACAUCACCAAGCCAAAGAAAUUUCAUGAUGAUUCUCCCAAACACCCCCUUCCCCAUGCUCUUUUGAUUGCAGGAAAUUUCAAGGAGGUUGAACAUGCAUGCUACUCUCAAGUUAGCACAGAUGCAAACUGGCAUAAAGCCAUGAAUUCCGAAUUUGACACUCUUCUUAAGAACGACACAUGGUGUCUUGUUCCAGCGUCGGAGGCACACAAUUUAGUUGGGUGCAAGUGGGUUUUUUGGAUCAAGAGGAAGGCAAAUGGCUCCAUUGAUAGAUACAAGGCCAGAUUAGUGGCCAAGGGCUUCCAUCAACAAACUAGUAUUGACUACGAAGAAACAUUCAGUCCGGUAAUAAAACCUACUACGGAUACGUAGACAUGAGUGAGGAUUUUAUGGAUGACAUAGACUCGUAUGACAUAGACGAGGAUGACAACUGGGUGGAUGACAUAGACAUGGAUGAGUGGGGACUUGACAAUCCAAACUAUAUUUAUGAACAUUGGUAUGAUACACUGGAACAAUCUUUCCUACCAUCGAUCCAGAUGCCGACGUGGGUGAUGUAAGCGAUGAUGAUGGCAUGGAUGAUGUAAUGGUCAAUUUGGCCCUUUAUGUGUGAUGGAGCUAAAAAUCAUGGGAUUGCAACUAGAACUGCAUGAAUUUGAAUUUGGGUUAAAAGGUCAGCGUAUGAGAGGUAUACCUCAAAGGACUUCUGGCUUCACGGGAGCGAUGUGGGUACAUCGGGUGCUUCACAAUCCUAAUCGAAAUACGUGCUAUGAGCGAUUUAAAAUGUGGCCAGCCACCUAUAUUGCUCUUUGUAACACAUUAGAACAUAAUGAGUUUUUAUGCAGCACCCGAGCUGUCCAGGUAACAGAUCAACUGGCUGCAUUUUGUUUGGUCAUGGCACAAGGUUGGUCAGCACGAUCCGUGGCUGACAGGCUACAACGCUCAACAUUCUUCGUAAGCAUUUAUGAUAGAAAAUCGGCAAGAGCACUUUGUUAAUUGGAAAAAUCAAUUUUACAACCCAAUCAUGUUCCACUACUGCAUCCCAAUGUUGUCAAUAACGCUAUGUACUACCCAUGGUUUGCGGUAAGAUAUCAAAACACUGUAUUUUACGUUUUUUGAAAGGAUAAAUGGAUGAUAUCAUGAUAUUACUAUUUAAAGACAAAAUUAUUUGUUGUGUGCUUCAACUAUGUUCUUACUGUUAACACCACUCCUACUUUCAGGAUUGUAUUGGAACAAUUGA